rnacentral:rRNA from 1 species
GACGAACGCUGGCGGCGUGCCUAAUACAUGCAAGUCGAACGCUGAAGGAGGAGCUUGCUUCUCUGGAUGAGUUGCGAACGGGUGAGUAACGCGUAGGUAACCUGCCUGGUAGCGGGGGAUAACUAUUGGAAACGAUAGCUAAUACCGCAUAAUAGUAGAUGUUGCAUGACAUUUGCUUAAAAGGUGCAAUUGCAUCACUACCAGAUGGACCUGCGUUGUAUUAGCUAGUUGGUGGGGUAACGGCUCACCAAGGCGACGAUACAUAGCCGACCUGAGAGGGUGAUCGGCCACACUGGGACUGAGACACGGCCCAGACUCCUACGGGAGGCAGCAGUAGGGAAUCUUCGGCAAUGGACGGAAGUCUGACCGAGCAACGCCGCGUGAGGGAAGAAGGUUUUCGGAUCGUAAAGCUCUGUUGUAAGAGAAGAACGAGUGUGAGAGUGGAAAGUUCACACUGUGACGGUAUCUUACCAGAAAGGGACGGCUAACUACGUG